CUACGGCUGACGCAGCGACGCCGCGUGUGGGAUGAAGCUCUUCGGAGUGUAAACCACUGUUGCCCGGGACGAACAGCUCGAUUAAUCGAGCCUGACGGUACCGGGUGAGGAAGCACCGGCUAACUCCGUGCCAGCAGCCGCGGUAAUACGGGGGGUGCGAGCGUUGUCCGGAAUCACUGGGCGUAAAGGGCGCGUAGGUGGUUUGAUAAGGGUGUGGUGAAAGUCCGGGGCUCAACCCCGGAUCUGCCGUGCCGACUGUCAAACUCGAGGACUGUAGAGGCAGACGGAAUUCCGGGUGUAGCGGUGGAAUGCGUAGAGAUCCGGAGGAAGACCGGUGGCGAAGGCGGUCUGCUGGGCAGUUUCUGACACUGAGGCGCGACAGCGUGGGGAGCAAACAGGAUUAGAUCCCCCUGGUAGA
rnacentral:rRNA from 1 species